GGAGAUAUGACUCAAGUGGUAGAGUACCUGCCUAGAAAGCCUGUGGCCCUGAGUUCAAAUCCCAGUACCACAA
rnacentral:tRNA from 1 species